CCUCGCAGCCGCCGCCGAUCCCCGCCCCAUCUUCCUCCCUCAAACGCUAACCCAAUGACCAUGAGUGUGCCGCCCCCUCCUUCCACCCAUCUCGCGAUGCGCUGCCGCCCGUCGCGGCCGCCCACGCCACCUCUGUCGCGGCCGCCCCCGCCACCUCCCGUCGCGGCCGCCGCCCCAGCUCCAGCCGCAGCCUUCGCGCCCACGUCCCACCGCGGUCGCUGCCCUGCGCGCAAAUGACCCCUUCCCCCGCCCCAGCCGCCAUCGCAGAUCCCUCCACCGCCGCCGAUCUAUUUGCUAGAGCCAUAUGACCAUAUGAUCCCUCUACCACCUCAUCUCGUGCUCCUGACAUGCCGAGGGGGCGAGAGGAGUAAGAGAGCAGGUACGAGUGCGCAGAGGAGGAAGAUGCCUGCCGUGAAGCUGCCAAGCGAGAAGACAGAGGAGGAGCGAUACUUGCGGAGGCGGCCGAGAUCGGGUACUACAUCUUCUUAGAUCUUCGCCGUCGUCUAGGUCAGGCCUCCCUCAGAUGCCCUGAUCCUCCAUCAUCAGGUUCUCCAUCUUCUUAGAUCUCACCCUUCCGUACCCAAUCGGCCAAUCCUCUCGAAUCGCAUCUCACCUGUCUCUGGCGAUGACUCCGGCCUGACAUCUCACCUCUCACAGUAUCCUCUCAUCUCUCUCCCGGGGAUGCCCUGCACUCUCCUCUCUAUGUCUGCUAGCGGUGGCGGCGGCCGGAAAUAGAGGGGACCAGUGGCAACGUGGAAUGGUACCCAGGGGCGUUCUGGUACAGCGCGAGAGGAAGCAGAUGAAUGUGCCACAUGUGAGAGGGAGAGGUCUGUAAUGGUAUCUGGUGGUGGCCUCUUGAAAAGAACCCAAGAUUCUCACUAAUAUCCUGUAGCUUGCUGUGUUCUUCGGGCUCUCUCAAACGACAAGAAGAUGAGUUACAGCGAAUUAUACGUCUCACCCCAUUGUUUGUACAAUGGUAUCCACUUUGAGUAGUAGUGUUGUGGGUUGUGGCUAACUGGCUAUGUGAAUUUGUCAGUGAUUUUGCUAGCUUUGAUGUGUUUCGGUUGGAUGAAAUGGAGUGUGUCGGUGCAGGUGCGAUGCAUCCGAUUGAGUAUAGGAGGACCGAGGACAUGUGGUGAGGCGUUGUGCCCUGUGGCACAACGACAAGGGUGCGCACAAGCUGACCAGCGUCUAGCUCCAUGGCCUCAUCAAUGACAGAACCAGAGGAACAAAUGAUCGUCAAUGGUGCACUAAACCAUGAGAGUGCGGCGCCUUCUGUGUUGUGGACAUGGCAUGGGCUGUCUUCUGUCCACUGCUGUGUUCUUGCUGCCAUUCCGCGGUAUAUUGGAGUGUUUCAUCCUAAUAUAUGUCUGGUUACAUGACCACAAAGAGAUAGAAGGAUAUGAUGUAAGCAAACGUGGACACUCAAGAAGAAGCUGGAAAAUCAGGAUUGGAAUCCAACGAGGAAAUCUGAAAGCAUAGACCAUGUUUAAGAACUGGCUGUUUUUGUUGUGCUAUUUUUAAGAAACAGGAUUUGUCUCGAAGGAAAUGAAGCUUACCAACAAGGAAAUUAUGGUGAUGAGGCACUUUUCUCCACCCUUGGCAAUACAGAGGGACCUCCUAAUGACACACGAUGGAAACGGAUCCGUGGAUUAAUUCAGAUGGCAUUAAUUGGAGAGAAGGGAUCUAGCUAGGUUUGCAAUGGCAUGUGUACUACCAAAAAAUAACAUCCUCAGGUUCUCUCCUGCAAAUCUAAAGACCAUGUUCGCAGAGCUAAUAAAUGUAUAUGGGUUAAAAUAAAGAUGAUGUGUAUUCACCAAUAUAUAUGUAUUUCCAUCAAGAAAUAAGUUUGGAAGAGUAGUAAGUACCACGCCAUUUUCUUUCAUAAUACAAUGGUGUUUAUUUGAUAAUGUGUUUCUAUGACAUGCAUAUGUUGCUUUAAUUUGCUCGUCCGCGAACCCCUCAAAAUUAUCUGACAAUCUGCUUAUACAAACAGCUUUGAGUUUGGUGCACUCUAUUGCUUUGUUAGGCUUGGUGGUGUAUCAGAUUCAGGAGAAUAAUAGUCCCUCUGUCAUCAUAUUUUUGUUUGUGGUAAUGCAUGACAUUCAACUGUAUGUAACAAUAUGGCAAUGACUCAAGAGACAUCGGAUCUGCCUUCUUGGCUUAGGGCAUCAGGGGUGGCACACGCGUCCCACUUGGUGGCGGUGACAGAUCGGCAAGAACAAGGGUGGGGUUGUAUUAAGGAGGAGAGCGGGGCGGUUGGCGAGGGACUCCUCCUUGGCGGUCCGUGGGGAAGUAAGGUGAGGUGGAUCUCAUUACUAGAGCCAUAUGACCAAAAAGAUGAUAGGAAAGGCUCUUUCCAAGCAUACAAGCAUAAGGUCAAGUUUAUUUCUUAAUAUAAUUUGGCCAGUCUGAGACCCAAUACCUUUGUUCUGCAUAGAUUUCUCAUACUAAUUCUGCCAUCGAUUAGGAGUGAAAUCACCAUGACAUUUCCAAGCUUUGUCUUUGAUGCUCGGGUCGAUGAUACCUGAAAUUCUUAGGAGUUCUUUCGAAUCAAAACAGUAGAAUGUAAGCUUGUGGUGACUUUGUGAAGUUUUGGCAUUGGACCGUUUGAAACUUUAGAUUGGCAGAGAGCUAGAGACCCUGGUGGUCUGAAGGAUGUUAAAUUUGAGAACACAAAUUAUUGUUGUUAAAUAAUCUUUGUUUCCUUCAUUUGGAAAAGUUAGCGUUGUUGGGAGUUUGAUAUUGCAGAGCUAGGAACCGGCGAGGUAGGCCACAUCGUUGACGACGACUGUCAUGGCCUCCACUUGUGCCCUCAUGCAGGUGGACUGCUGGUCAUUGAUGGAGUCGGGCUCUUGCAGCAAAAUCUAUGAUAUUCUCUGGAAGCUGCAGGUAGGCCAGGCUGUUCAUGAAGAUCCGACGACGACCACCAAGGUUGUAAUCUGCUGGUGCAGUGUUGCUCUGCUUUGAUUUGGGAAUUCCUAUGGGAUCUAUUUUUGAUUGGCCAAAGCUGGUUUGUUUGCUGCCGUUUGGUUUAACAUGAUGCUAUAAUGCGCUACACACAAAUAUGUUAUUCCAGUACAAGUGGCCGGUCAGUUAAUUUGAGGAUCUUUUGCCUUUUGUUCUUCAGGCCUAUAGUGUGUGGUUUCAUUCCGACAGUUAAAACUUGCAUUGGCUUGUUAAACUUCAUGUGACCGGAUCAGUAGGGGAGGAUGAUCACAUAUGGAAAAUACUGCUCCAUGUUGAUGAACCGAUGACCUCAGAUCAUGCUGUAUGUAUACUCCACUACGUACGGAUAGCCCGCUCGUCGUAUCUUGACAUAGUGAAAUCAACUUUGAUCGAUGGAGAUGGAUUUCUUCCCUGUUGGUGCAAUUGUAUGUUCACGUGGUUCUUUCAGGUAUACAAACAACAAUAUAACAACUCUAGAAAUCUACAUCUUAAUACUGCCCUAUUUUCGCGGAUUAUAAUCUCCAGGCUGGAAUCAACAAGCCCACAUAAUCUUCAGUCUUCCACAAUUAUGUUUUGCUUCAUGUUCUAUGAUCAGGUUGUAAUCUGCUGGUGCGGUGCUGCCCUGCUUUGAUUUGGGGAUUCAUCUGGGAUCUAAUUUUGACAGAACAAAGCUGGUUUGUUGGCUGCUGGCUGGUGUCACCUGAUGGUACUGUGCUACGGAGACUCGGAGAGAGAUGUUUUUCCAGCAACAGAAGUGGCCAGUUAGUUAAGUUGAGGAUUUGUUCCAUCUCUUCUUCAGGCCUGUAGCUUGUGGUUUCAGUCAGAUAGUUAAAGUCGCAUUGUCUUGCAACAGCGAGUGACUGCUGGGUUAACUGUUUGUGGUUUCAGUCGGAUAGUUAAAGUUGCAUUUUCAGUCGGACACAUGUUUGUUGUUUUUCCUGCUUUUUUCUUCACUGCACACUCCCGCCGUUCGUUGUCGUGCAAUGUUGAAGUUAUUCAUGCGGUGGGGUGGAUGGAACAAUCCUUCUGCUAUUGCCACUGCUUCCAUUCAUCAAGAUAUCUGUCCAUGCAUAUCUUCUUGAUGAACAGACAUAAAACCUUGGAUGCCCAUAAAUAUGUUAGGUAAUAUCCAUCCACGGAUAUUCUCAAAGACAGCGGCGGGGGGCAUAUGAUGAAGGAUUUGCCAACAAGGGGGUUAUCGUUAAUUACCCCGUUUGCUGAAGAUGCAUUCAACAAAGAAGAUAGUUGUGGGGAAUUUUUGCAGUGCUCAAUGCGAUUUUCAAUAUGAGCCAUCUCGAGUCUGAAGUCCAAACCAUGCAACCUCUUUCGGACUAUGAAAAUAUGAGCCGCUGGGCUUCCUUCCAAUUGGUUGGUGCCUCAAGAAGCCUCAAAUAGGGUGGAAGACUAAUUUGAGCUUCGAUUUUGUUGGCAAAUCGAGGGGAGGAGAAAUCAAAGUCAUGGAGAAAAAAUUCGACCCUAGACCCCAUGGCCUCGAGUUGUGUGCAUGUGUGGUGCGACAAAUUGGCGCCCAUUAGGCGGCGAUUAGACACUAAGUGGUCAUGCGGGGACAUGUGAGGGACCCAUCCUACCUCAAUGGAAAAACAGUGGAACAAGUCCAUGACAUUUGAUGUCAAUUGCGAGAGGUAGUAUCAUGGACGAAUGUACAGGGUAUAUUUCAGAUCUUGAGCUAUGGUUAUUAUUGGGCUAGGAACUUGUGUUAUUUUUUUCCCGUUGCAACGCACAGGCAGUUUUCCUAAUAAUAUUAAAUUCCUACCCUUCAUAACUUGUAUUUUUUGACGAUAAGUAAGUUCCUAAGUCUAUGUUACGUUUAAGUUAAAAGUACAAUGUCGAUGUGGGCCAUACAUACACCGAUUAAUAAAGCGGCUAGUACUUAAAUUGACCAUCAUGUCCUAUGUGCCUUAGGGUUAAGUUUUAAUCUCCACCAUUGACUCUCUUAAGGUGGGUAUACUGAAGCAGACCCCUUAUAAUUAUGAAUGGUUUAUAAAGUUGAAGGAUGAAACUUGAACGAACACAAUGCUGAGGUUUGUAAAGUGGAGCCAAAGACAAGUUCGAGUGAGAAAUAUGUACUUCUCUCAAACUAUAUUAUCAGAUGACGAUGAGGGCCUUGAAGAUGAUGAAAAUGAGUUUCUCAUGGUUCUAUUUUGUUGUAGGCGAAUUCUUUAAUUAUAAUUAUCAAUGUGUUUGUUUUUAUUAAGGACACAAUGACAUGCAAGGCGAGGGAAAUUGAGGCCAAAACAUUCAGCACGGCCGGGAGUGUGCCAUUUUUUCUAUGACAGGUGGUGGUUCUUCAAUCUUCAUGGAAUCAAGCGGUAGCACCAGAUGCUGACAUGCAUGGAAGGUAGCAAUAUGUGUAUUUGUAUCAAAUCAUCCAAGAAUGUGCUCUGAAAUGA